GAAGAAAAGUUCAGGGAGUAAAUAUCGAUAUGUAAGAAAAGAAAAGAAAGAAAAGAAAGAGAAUGAGAAGUUGACGUCGGGGAAGAAGAAAGAGGGAGAGGGAGGAGCUGCCGUCCGUGGCAGGUGGAGAUGGAGGCCGCUCGAGGCACGGUGGCGACGGUUGGUGGAAGAGUCGAUACCGGCGAGUCCAGCGGUAGCGACAGCGGCGGUGACAGUGUGAAAAAAAAAAAGAAGAAGGGGAAGAAGAGGCAGCUGUACGGCGCCGUUCAUGGCUUGUCCGGAAGCACCAAGGGUGGCGAUCGACUUGCUUGAGAGUGGGCUUUCUUUUGGGAGCACCAGCGACGCAAAUGGUGGCCGGAGUUGGUAGCAUCGGUGGAAAGAGAAAGUAGGUGGCAGCCGGCGCUUUCUGGCUUUUUCGGCGAGUUCCGGUGAGUGAUGGACCAUAGGAGUUCAUAUCCGGACUUUUCAAAGCUCAAGCUUUCCAAUGGCACUGGUUUCGUGGCGAUCGAACUCCGUUUGAAAAAUCGACGGCCGAGAUCAUCCGUAAAUCUCUCCGGAUGAUCGGGGAUCGGAAGAUCGGAAGCUGGGGUCGACAUCAGCGCGUCGUUUUGAGUCUGUUGGUGCGUUUGGAUCGCCGAUCGGACUCCACCGGCUGGAGACAAGUCGAUCGAGCGAUCAAGCAUCUCGAUAAUCCGUUAGUUCGGCUCGCUCCCCCCGGGGCAUCAGAGCUAGGAGGUCGUCAGAAUUCAGUCUCAUUUUCACUGUUUUUCAGGUGAUUGUUAGUCUUCCCGCAAUUCUUAUCUAGCAACGCGACUCCUUCAUCAUCGGGUUGAUGUAAUUGAUUUUGGUAUGCUUCAUUUGUAAAAUUUUAGAUUUUUCGCAGUAGAAAUUUUAGACUUAUCAAUUGUAAUUUUUAUGUAAAUUUACGGCUAGCCUAAUUUAUGCUGGCAGACCAAAUUAAGUAUGUAGGAUUUGAUGGUUAAGGUUAAUUGUGAAUAUGUGCCUUGGAUUGAGUCCGA